UCAGAGGCAGCUGUUUAUUGUUGUUUCUGAUUGGGAACCAUAUUUAGGUAGCCAUAUUCCUUGGUUAUUUUGUGGGUUGUUAUUCUAUGUUUAGUUGCCUGUUCUGCACUAGCCAUAUUGCUUCAUGGUUAGUUUUGUUCAGUGCUCGUUCUGCUAUUAAAUAAGUACGUUCGCUUACCAUGCUGCGCCUUGGUCUCCUCUUUAUGACGACCGUGACAGUCAUGAAAAUCAACGGCUUUCCGAGCAGCUACUGGGGCUGGGGUGGUGAAGAUGACAUUUUCAACAGGGUGAAUAACAGGAAUGUCCAUCCCUCGUCCGGACAGCGUAGUCGGAAAAUGCCGAAUGAUCCAUCACGAAAGAGACUAAAAUAACAACGACAAUCCUGAGAGGUUCAAGAGAAUAGAUCAUUACGUUAAAGACGAUGGAUACUGAUGGCCUCCACUCUCUCGAGUACGAAGUUGUCGCAGUUGAAAAGCAUGACCUGUUCACAAAGACUACAGUAGAUGUGGGGAUGACACCCAAAGAUAAAGAAGACGUGGACAAAGGAUGAAUGAGGAAGAGAUGAACUAGCAGGGCUGGAUCUUGGGCCUGACUAAUCGAUGUCUGUAUGUAGCCUCGCUACUUUUAUAGCCUCGCUACUGUUUUCCACUGUCUUUGUACUGUUUUGAUUUAUUUAUCUAUUGUUCACCUAAUACCUUUUAUGCACUAUUGGUUAGAGCCUGUAAGUAAGCAUUUCGCUAUAAGGUCAACUACACCUGUUGUAUUCGGCGCACGUGACAAAAUAAACUUUGAUUUGAAUGUGCGGUUUGCUCAUAAUAUUCUACACAUUUUGCUAUGACGCUGAGAAAAUGUUUCAGAUUUAAAGCUGUUUUCUGGCAAUUCUACAUAUUUGUCCAUGGCUUAUGACAUGUUAAUAUGCUGUCUGGGGGGCCCCUGACCUCCAGUGGUCCCUCUGGGGGUUGGGGUCCCCGGGGCGCGUGCCCGUUCGUAAAUCCGGCCCUGUGAAGAAGGCAGGAACCACCUGGAAUGAGGUCAAGGAAACUGUCCAGAACAGAGUUAACUGGAGAUGCACCGUUGAGGCCCUUUGCUCCACUAGGAGCUGAAAGAAGUCAAGUAAGUGAAGUCAAGGGGAGGCCUGUGUCAAUAGAGUAUGUAAACUUCUGUCACCUGUGCAUACAGUACGAGAGGUGCUGAGUAAAGAGGGCAGCGCGCUAUUGCAGAGGCUGCAGCGGUUAUAAUGCAACACAGUAGAAACAUCUACUGACUGACUUAGUAUGAAUCUUUGAGGUGUCAUGACGUCCACCUACUAAUUGGCCCGUUUGUCCCUCAAGCUGCCCGAUUGGCAGAGCUUUGUGCAGUACUGCUUUCACCAUAAUCCUAAUGCAAGUUUCCAACUCUGAAAUAACCCCGCUCCAAUUUCCAAUUGGGAAAGUCUGAGAUUUUGAUACCCACAUUUACGAGUUGUGACAUUUCAGCUCUGAUCAUUCACCUUUUCAAGGAGCAUUUGAAGGCAGCUUUACUUUUGGUUUUCAAAUAUUGUAUGGUUGCUCUACACUAGUGUACAUCAAGCAAUGGCCAUGGAAUGUAAAGGUUUCAGAGAUGCUUUUUGUUGUUGUUGAUCGAAUGUGUUGCCUUUCCUUAUUUUCUCUGUGAAAAUCUGAACUUUCAUGUUUUGUUAAUGGGUUAUUAUAGUGUGGCUACUGUGUGAGUCAUGGGAAACUCCAACAAACAAUUAGAACAUGUUCGACAUUUCAAAAUAAAUACAUUUGCCAAUUAAUUUAAUAUCUGGUCAUGAUGAUGUAAUUUGUUUGGUAUCAGAACCCCUUAGCAGCUCUCCUCCAUGACCAAGAGGUC